AGUCGACGAUUAAGCACCUUCGGGUGUGUAUAGAGUGGCGAACGGGUGAGUAGCACGUGACCAACCUGCCUCUUACAUUGGGACAACCAAAAGAAAUUCUGGCUAAUACCAAAUACUCCGCACAUAUCACAUGAUGUAUGCGGGAAAGCUUUUGCGGUAAGAGAUGGGGUCGCGGCCCAUUAGGUAGACGGCGGGGUAGAAGCCCACCGUGCCGAUGAUGGGUAGCCGGGUUGAGAGACCGACCGGCUACAUUGGGACUGAGAUACGGCCCAGACUCCUACGGGAGGCAGCAGUGGGGAAUAUUGCGCAAUGGGGGAAACCCUGACGCAGCAACGCCGCGUGCGGGAUGAAGGCCUUCGGGUUGUAAACCGCUUUCAGCAGGGAAGACAUCGACGGUACCUGCAGAAGAAGCCCCGGCUAACUACGUGCCAGCAGCCGCGGUAAUACGUAGGGGGCGAGCGUUAUCCGGAUUCAUUGGGCGUAAAGCGCGCGCAGGCGGUUGCUCAAGCAGAACCUCUAAUCUCGGGGCUUAACCUCGAGCCGGGUUCCGAACUGGACGACUCGAGUGCGGUAGAGGCAGAUGGAAUUCCCGGUGUAGCGGUGGAAUGCGCAGAUAUCGGGAAGAACACCAACGGCGAAGGCAGUCUGCUGGGCCGUCACUGACGCUGAGGCGCGAAAGCUGGGGGAGCGAACAGGAUUAGAUACCCUGGUAGUCCCAGCCGUAAACGAUGAGCGCUGGGUGUGGGAGAUUACAUCUUCCGUGCCGAAGCUAACGCAUUAAGCGCUCCGCCUGGGGAGUACGGCCGCAAGGCUAAAACUCAAAGGAAUUGACGGGGGCCCGCACAAGCAGCGGAGCAUGUGGCUUAA
rnacentral:rRNA from 1 species